rnacentral:rRNA from 1 species
GUAGCAAUACGUUAGUGGCGCACGGGUGAGUAACGCGUGGAUAUCUGCCUUUUGGUUCGGAAUAACCUUGGGAAACUAGGGCUAAUACCGAAUGGUUCCUACGGGAUAAAGAUUUAUCGCCAAAAGAUGAGUCCGCGUCCGAUUAGCUAGUUGGUGUGGUAAUGGCGCACCAAGGCGACGAUCGGUAGCUGGUCUGAGAGGACGAUCAGCCACACUGGGACUGAGACACGGCCCAGACUCCUACGGGAGGCAGCAGUGGGGAAUAUUGGACAAUGGGGGCAACCCUGAUCCAGCCAUGCCGCGUGAGUGAUGAAGGCCUUCGGGUUGUAAAGCUCUUUUGGCGGGGACGAUGAUGACGGUACCCGCAGAAUAAGCCCCGGCUAACUUCGUGCCAGCAGCCGCGGUAAGACGAAGGGGGCAAGCGUUGUUCGGAAUUACUGGGCGUAAAGCGCGUGUAGGUGGUUGCCACAGUCAGGUGUGAAAGCCUUGAGCUCAACUCAAGAAAUGCACUUGAUACUGGGCGGCUAGAGGACCGGAGAGGAUA